rnacentral:rRNA from 1 species
GACGAACGCUGGCGGCGUGCUUAACACAUGCAAGUCGAAGCGGUAAGGCCCUUUCGGGGGUACUACGGAGCGGCGAACGGGUGAGUAACACGUGGGUGACCUGCCCCUCACGCUCUGGGAUAAGGCCCCGGGAAAACUCGGGUCUAAAUACCGGAUAUGACUCCAUGACGCAUGUUGUGGGGUGGAAAGGCCUUGUGCGGCUGGAGGAUGGGGCCCCGCGGGCCCUAUCAGCUUGUUGGUGGGGUGAUGGCCACCAAGGCGACGACGGGUAGCCGGCCUCGAGAGGGCGACC